CCGGACGUAGCUCAAUCAGAAGAGCGGUGACACUAAUAAUAGUCACAGGAUGCGAGUGCAACUCUCGUCGUCCGGU
rnacentral:tRNA from 1 species